AUUGAACGCUGGCGGCAUGCCUUACACAUGCAAGUCGAACGGCAGCGCGGGGCAACCUGGCGGCGAGUGGCGAACGGGUGAGUAAUAUAUCGGAACGUACCCUGGAGUGGGGGAUAACGUAGCGAAAGUUACGCUAAUACCGCAUACGAUCUAAGGAUGAAAGUGGGGGAUCGCAAGACCUCAUGCUCCUGGAGCGGCCGAUAUCUGAUUAGCUAGUUGGUAGGGUAAAAGCCUACCAAGGCAUCGAUCAGUAGCUGGUCUGAGAGGACGACCAGCCACACUGGAACUGAGACACGGUCCAGACUCCUACGGGAGGCAGCAGUGGGGAAUUUUGGACAAUGGGCGCAAGCCUGAUCCAGCAAUGCCGCGUGAGUGAAGAAGGCCUUCGGGUUGUAAAGCUCUUUUGUCAGGGAAGAAACGGGUUUUUCUAAUACAGAGAUCUAAUGACGGUACCUGAAGAAUAAGCACCGGCUAACUACGUGCCAGCAGCCGCGGUAAUACGUAGGGUGCAAGCGUUAAUCGGAAUUACUGGGCGUAAAGCGUGCGCAGGCGGUUUUGUAAGACUGUCGUGAAAUCCCCGGGCUCAACCUGGGAAUGGCGAUGGUGACUGCAAGGCUAGAGUUUGGCAGAGGGGGGUAGAAUUCCACGUGUAGCAGUGAAAUGCGUAGAUAUGUGGAGGAACACCGAUGGCGAAGGCAGCCCCCUGGGUCAAAACUGACGCUCAUGCACGAAAGCGUGGGGAGCAAACAGGAUUAGAUACCCUGGUAGUCCACGCCCUAAACGAUGUCUACUAGUUGUCGGGUUUUAAUUAACUUGGUAACGCAGCUAACGCGUGAAGUAGACCGCCUGGGGAGUACGGUCGCAAGAUUAAAACUCAAAGGAAUUGACGGGGACCCGCACAAGCGGUGGAUGAUGUGGAUUAAUUCGAUGCAACGCGAAAAACCUUACCUACCCUUGACAUGGCAGAAAUCCUCGAGAGAUUGAGGAGUGCUCGAAAGAGAAUCUGCACACAGGUGCUGCAUGGCUGUCGUCAGCUCGUGUCGUGAGAUGUUGGGUUAAGUCCCGCAACGAGCGCAACCCUUGUCAUUAGUUGCUACGAAAGAGCACUCUAAUGAGACUGCCGGUGACAAACCGGAGGAAGGUGGGGAUGACGUCAAGUCCUCAUGGCCCUUAUGGGUAGGGCUUCACACGUCAUACAA
rnacentral:rRNA from 1 species